GCCGGGGCGCGGGCUGACGGGAGCUGUAGUCGCAGCGGGGCCGGGGCCGGCUGUUGCUGGUCCCAGGGGCAGACGGGGAGUUCAUCGCGUCAGUCGGCGUCGCGUUCGCCUUGAAACCUUUCCGAGUGGGCUACGGACAAGAGGGAGCUCCGGGAUUCUGCGUCCCCGCGUUCGCGCCGCCGUUGUAAAUAGCGCAUCGCUCCCGCGCCGUUCCGUUCGGUUUUCCCCUGCCUUUUCCACACCGAGCUGAGGACAGUCCUGCCUUUCCAGCCCUGCCCUGUAAGCCGUACGCAUUGAAUAAGGCAAAAAGGCCUGAAGUCAGAGGCUGCACCGAGAGAUAAUUCUACUGUCACCAUGGUAUCUAAGCUCAUCAGAGAAACUUCAUGAGGUUGUUGCUAGCUUGGGUAAGUGGUUUAUAUAGUCCAAGGCAACAAGGAGCUAAAUGUUCUCAAAGUUACGUGAAUACCUUCCUCAGGGUCUGGGAGCAGAGGGAGAGGAGCUGAACAACACCAAGUGCUGCACUUUCAGUGUUGGUAAGGGCAAUUGUUGACUAUAGGCAUCUAACCAGAAAUUAAUGCCUUGAUAAACAGUAUCACUAACUUUCUUGCUUGACAAUUGGGUCUUUAUGAUCCUUAUUCAGGCUUCACUGUUAAGAGGAAAAUACUGGUUUUGGCUGUGUGGUGUGUUGUGAGUGAUUUUUUUCCUAAGUCCUGCUUUGGGGCCCUUAGAGGUAUCUGUCUUGUUAUUCUUUCUUCUCUAUCCCAGAAUGAAGAAUAGCUUUUCUUUUUUGUAAUAAUUUCUCCAUUCAGCCUCUGAAAGGAACAAGUUAAUAGCCCUGAAGAUAAUCUGAUUAUUGUAAUGAUGUAGCUGCUAGCAAUUGACAAGAGGUGGAGAAACAUACAGCAGGGGAAAUGAUAGAAAGACAAAGUAUGAGCAAAGUGGAGAUACUCGAUAUGAUAAGUAGAAGUGUUGGCACAUCAGCUGCCUUAUUUAUAUUAAUUCUGUUCAGUGAUUUCCAUUACAGAUGGUUGCUGUUUUUUCUAGUUGCCAGUCCCCAAAAUUCAGAAUUUGUCCUGAAAUUCACACUGAGUUCUUUCUGAACACUGUUGUAUAUAUUCUGCAGGCUGAAUUAUAUGCUUGUUGCAUCUUUUUGGGUUUCCAUUAGAGAACAGAUGUGUUGGAAUAGGUGUAAAUCUACAGAAGUGUAAUGAGGUUACUUGGGCAACGCUGAAGGUGUGUAAAGUUACACAAAAAUGUCUGUGAUAAUAAUGUAAGGCAUAGAGUUUCUAUAAGUGGAUAUAAUACAGGAGAUCGGAGCAGAAGUAUCUUGACAGUCGAUCUGAGCUAAAUUGGAAGAAAUCAUUACCUUAUACUUAUAAACCAAAUGAAUUUGAUAUGGGAACCAGUGAGACUCAGGAAAAAGGGCAUCUCACAGUGCCAUCUCUACUGCAAUGUAAAAUUGCUUCACAGAUUAUACUACCAUUAUGUUAAUUAUCUUCCCAGUACUGUCCACUUCUUUGGAGUUCUCUGGGUACAAGAUAAGAAGCUCCUGUAUACCAAAGAUGCACGCAGAGUUUAGCUUGUGCACUUCUGACAGUCAGUUACUGAAAUACUUUCCCUGGCCUCAUGUUCUGAUAUCUUGUUUGAAGGAAAGCCCUGUCUGAAUAGGUAGCAUAAGAAAGGAUUGGCUUUCUGCUCCAGUCCAUUUUUGUUUUGUUGAAGUUUCCUGUGGAUCAGGGAGAAUUAUCCUCAGGAGCAACAAUCUGAAGGACCUGGACUGAACAAACCCCAUUUCUGCAAUAGGCACCUAUAUUAAUUGGCUGUGGUGUCAAAAUAUUUCACUCCAAGUUACAUGUCUUAUUAAAGUCUCCUCCUGCCUUAUUUGGUUAUGACUGUGCUGCAGAAGGAUAAUGAGAAGCAGUAUCAGCUGUUCACAAUUAAUGGGACAAUUGUUGAGACCCCAUGUUCAAUAACUCCUACCAAGGUGACACCGUAGACAUUGAAGCACUAAAUUAUAUUAUGUGCUUGAAUGAUUAAGGCUGAAGUUUAUGGCUUAUGCUCAUUCAGUUGCUUGAGUGCUUAAGAGUAGAAUAGUGAAAAACCUUUAUCUUAUACGCAGGUUUCUGAGCUGCUUGGCACAUACAACUCUCAUACCUUUCUUCUAGAUAGUGUCAGAUGGUCAAAAUUAAUUUCCCUUGUCAUUCAAGAAUAUUCCUAUGCUAAAUCAGAUGAAACUAAAUCUGUCUGUGAAAUGUAGUGCUGAAAAACACCUGGUCAGCUAACUCUCAGAUAAAAUGAGACCCUAACCAAUGGAGAAGACAAAAUUCUCAGAGUUAAUUGUGUGUGUCCAGCAUGGUAGAACACUAAUCCUUUAGGUCCUUCUGCAAGCCAAAACAACUACUGUUGUAGAUUAACUUCUGUGGAAUUGUAAUGAAGCAUCCUUAGGAGAAUAGUCCACUCCAAAGUUAAUAACCUGUUGAAAGUAUGCAUACAAGAAAAACUGAUUUGAAGAACAGAAAUUCAAAGGUCAAGGCCUACAUUUAUCAUUAUGGUUGGUCUCUACAUAAAGGGUCAUACCACUUCUCUCUAAGUAGACAGCAGUAAACUGUGAUUAUGAUCUCAGGACAGCUUCAUGUCUUGUGCUGUCUCUUUACAAACAACAGUCAAUAUUUGCUUGGAAAUAACACUCAGAAUGUGUCACUCAGGUGCAUUUCUGGGCAUCUACCUAGUAACAAUUUGAUUUUGUUUUUCUUAUGCAUCACUCUGUCUUAAUACACAGUCAUCUUCCGUCUGAAGAAACUAAGAGGUUGCAGUGAGGUCCAGCCCAGGAGGAGCUUGACUCUGACUCAUCCUGAGACAAGGAGGGAAAGGUUUCCUUGCAGCUAUAUUGAGACUAUAACUACGCAAGGACACUAACCUCUGAGAAAGCCCUAAAAAUUAGGUGGCCUUAUUUUUAAUGAAGAUUUGAUUGUGCCUUUUGGGUGGCUUAGUUUGACGCUGUUUUAUACUGGUAGAUGGUAAAUGUGUUUCAAAGUACAAUUUCCCAGAACUUCUCAGAAGUUCUAGUGUCAAUUUUCAGGUAAGAUCCAAACUGCAUUAUAAGGAAGAUUAAUGCCUCCCUGUCACUGGAGGAGUUCAGAACACUUGUUCAGGUUGUAAGAGGCUUGCUAAGUUCCUCCCCACCAGCUUAACGUCUUUCUCCUACCUCUCAUAAAGGUUUGGAGGGAGCAUUGGCAUUGUAUGCUUUCCAUCUCUCAUUAGCACCGCUUCAUUUUGCAAAAAUAAUUAAACUUUCACCAGAGAUGGAACUAGAACCUGCUGGGGAAUGAGGUAGAGAUAAUCCUACCAUUCAAAAGACUAACUUGACCCCCCAGGUAAAGAGUAUUUCUCCUGCAGUUUGUCUCAGUGAUUAAGUCUUUUGGACAAAAGCAUCAACCAAAAUAAUGGAGGGAAGCACAACCCAAGGCCCUCAGCUGCCUAGAGCUCUUGAUCAAAUUAUGUGAGACUCAAAUACUAGUUCACUUUCUGCCUAAAUCACGAAGAGAUGAACUUAAGCGUCUAAUACUUUCGAGAGUUCUUGAAAGCCUGAGCCAUAUGUGAAAGGGGGCACUACUUCCAUCAUCUCUGUCAACCUGAGCAGAUACAACCUUUUUUUCUUUACAGGUAUUCCAAAGAAGGCAAUCUGUAUUCUAAGGAGGGAGUGGUGGUGGGUGGUGUUCUGGUCUCAACAAGAGCAAAAAGAUGUUUUUGUUUUUAUUGAUCAGAGCCACUAUUGAUACUUUUUGGUUUGUUUGCUUGCUCAGAUAAUUCACUGAGUCAUGUAACCCCAGUGCUCUCAAUAAACUGAUUUCUUGUCUGAAA